rnacentral:rRNA from 1 species
UACGGGGGGGGCAAGCGUUGUUCGGAUUUACUGGGCGUAAAGGGCGCGCAGGCGGCGCAACAAGUCACUUGUGAAAUCUCCGGGCUCAACUCGGAGCGGUCAAGUGAUACUGUCGUGCUAGAGUGCGGGAGGGGCAAGUGGAAUUCUUGGUGUAGCGGUGAAAUGCGUAGAUAUCGAGAGGAACACCUGCGGCGAAGGCGGGUUGCUGGGCCGACACUGACGCUGAGGCGCGAAAGCUAGGGGAGCGAACGGG